rnacentral:lncRNA from 1 species
UGGAGGAUCCCAUGGACAGAGGAGCCUGGUGGGCUACAUGUACAAAGAGUUGGACAUGACUGAAGUGACUAAACACACAUGAAUUUCUUUUGUUAGAAUAUCCUUCAAAAGAUUGAGAGAUGACAGACUAGAUGGCAGUCCUGUUGGAAGUGAUCUAAGAAGCUCUGGUAUCACCACUCCUGCCCUGGUUCCACAUCUGCAGAUUAACUCAAUGUGGUUGCUUGAAUCUGUGGAAGCGGGACCUUGGCUACUGUGGGAACACUGUUUUCUAAAAGGGAAUUGAGCAUCUCUGGAUUCUGGUAUUCAAGCAGGUUGGUGCUGGUGGUAGAGUGUCCUGGAACCAAUCACAGGUCAAGAUUGUCCUCUACAAGGCAUGGCUUGACAGGCCAGCUAGGUCUCCACCACAGAGGCACCAGGUCACUCCUCCAGCCCUUCUGAAGCUCAUAUUUAUGGGGAGGCAUGAAACGUGGUCAACCGGUAAGCUAUCCUUUCGUAUCAGGGAAGCACGUAUUUCCUCUGGAAUGGAGACUGUGAAGAAGGGUGGGGAAUCUCAUUUCAUCAGUUCCCUGUAAGCAGGCUUGGCACACUCCCAGGUACACAACUCCUCAUUCUGUCUCUAUUUGUCCCCAAGGACAGACAGCUCUGGCUAGGGAUGUAAAGUCUCUCUGGGCAG